AUUGUCACUGCUGCUCCAAGGGCACACGCAGAGGGAUUUGGAGUUCCUAGAGAGUUGCCUUUGUGAAAAGCUGGAAAUGCUUCUUUCAAAUCCAUCUCUUAGUUUUCCAUAGGAACAUGAAGAAAUC
rnacentral:other from 13 species